CCUCCCCCUCCCCCCAGCAGUUCCAGGCCAUCCCCUGGGCAGUGUGUCUGUGGAAGUCCCUUGCUGCUCUCCAUGGGGCUGAGGCUUACCUGCUCCUCCCCACUCCAAGUCCCACCUGCUGGUCUGUCCACUGGGGCACCCAGGGGCUGGCAGGCAGCUGUAGCUCAGGGGCCUUGGCGGGGACCUGAGGGGAAGGCCGUGGUGGCCCCCACAGCCCUGCUGGAGGCCCGCCACACGACCCUUUCCGCGUCUCCCCCACUCUGGGGUCAGUGGUUCUUCCUGACUUUGUGUUGAGAAAGGUCAAUUUCACAGACCUCCUGUGUCCCUGUCACCAGGCUGGCCCAAGCCUCAUGUGCCAGCCUGUCACUGCUGCUGGGCCCCGAGAAGGGCCUGUCGUGGGCAGAGGGCCGGUGGCCUGCCCACUGGAAGAAGGGACAUAGGAUCACUCUGCGAAGAAAAUGACUUCCCCUGAACUGGUGGGGCUCGUCCAGGGCAGAGCUCCAGGACCUAGGACGAGGAGGUGGCAGACGGGGCCAGCAGGGUCCCCACCCCCCAUCAGAACCCUGGGCACAUGUGGGCCCUGCUGAACCUCCCAGGGGUGACUGGGGGUGGUCCUCACUGCACUGUCCUGAUUCCAGCAAUGGGGGUGGGGGUCCCACUCUGCAGAGAGGCUGCCUCUGUCC
rnacentral:lncRNA from 1 species